rnacentral:rRNA from 1 species
GACAGAGGGUGCAAACGUUGUUCGGAAUUACUGGGCGUAAAGCGUGCGCAGGCGGCUUUGCAAGACAGAUGUGAAAUCCCCGGGCUUAACCUGGGAACUGCAUUUGUGACUGCAAGGCUGGAGUGCGGCAGAGGGGGAUGGAAUUCCGCGUGUAGCAGUGAAAUGCGUAGAUAUGCGGAGGAACACCGAUGGCGAAGGCAAUCCCCUGGGCCUGCACUGACGCUCAUGCACGAAAGCGUGGGGAGCAAACAGG